CCCUUGUCCUUAGUUACCAGCACGUAAUGGUGGGCACUCUAAGGAGACUGCCGGUGACAAACCGGAGGAAGGUGGGGAUGACGUCAAGUCAUCAUGGCCCUUACGGCCUGGGCUACACACGUGCUACAAUGGUCGGUACAGAGGGUUGCCAAGCCGCGAGGUGGAGCUAAUCCCAUAAAACCGAUCGUAGUCCGGAUCGCAGUCUGCAACUCGACUGCGUGAAGUCGGAAUCGCUAGUAAUCGCGAAUCAGAAUGUCGCGGUGAAUACGUU
rnacentral:rRNA from 1 species